rnacentral:rRNA from 1 species
UACGUAGGGGGCAAGCGUUGUCCGGAUUUAUUGGGCGUAAAGAGCGUGUAGGCGGCCAUACAGGUCAGCUGUGAAAACUCGAGGCUCAACCUCGAGACGUCGGUUGAAACCGUAUGGCUAGAGUCCGGAAGAGGAGAGUGGAAUUCCCGGUGUAGCGGUGAAAUGCGCAGAUAUCGGGAAGAACACCCGUGGCGAAGGCGGCUCUCUGGGACGGUACUGACGCUGAGACGCGAAAGCGUGGGAGCGAACGAGG